rnacentral:rRNA from 1 species
GGAGUCUAACAUGUGCGCGAGUCGUCGGGUCGUUUAACGAAACCCGCAGGCGCAGUGAAAGUGAAGGCCGCUUCAGGGCGGUCUAGGGAGGAUGGCGCCGGCCUCGUCCGGCGCCCGCACUCCCGGGGCGUCUCGUCCUCAUUGCGAGGGGAGACGCACCAAGAGCGUACACGUUGGGACCCGAAAGAUGGUGACCUAUGCCUGGCCAGGACGAAGUCAGGGGAAACCCUGAUGGAGGUCCGUAGCGAUUCUGACGUGCAAAUCGAUCGUCAGAGCUGGGUAUAGGGGCGAAAGACUCAUCGAACCAUCUAGUAGCUGGUUCCCUCCGAAGUUUCCCUCAGGAUAGCUGGCGCUCGGAGGAGAGAGUCUCAUAUGGUAAAGCGAAUGAUUAGAGGCCUUGGGGCCGAAACGACCUCAACCUAUUCUCAAACUUUAAAUGGGUGAGAUCUCCGGCUUGCUCAAUGUGAAGCCGGAGGUGGAUCAGAGUGCCAAGUGGGCCAUUUUUG